rnacentral:lncRNA from 1 species
ACUUCCUUAUAUUUUAAUUUUAUUCCAUCAUACGACUUACUUUUAGGGCAUAUUUGAUUGGCCAAAAGUGAAGCAUAGAAAGUGACAUUUUUAAAAAAUGACAUCUUAUCGGUUGGUUUGUGAAAUUAAUAUAAAAGUCACUUUACAAAAAUUGGUUGAUAAAUUGAGUUAUAACUAAAUCACACUUUUUUGACUUCACCUAAAAAAAUUUCAAAAUCAUCGAAAAUAAA